rnacentral:sRNA from 1 species
UCUUGUACCAGUACGCGGGCCCAGGACUGAGCCUGGGCGCGCCCGGCGGCCGCGCGCCGCCCGACGACCUGGACCUGUUCCCCACGCCCGACCCCCACUACGAGAAGAAGUACUACUUCCCGGUCCGCGAGCUGGAGCGCUCGCUGCGCUUCGACAUGAAGGGCGACGACGUGAUCGUCUUCCUGCACAUCCAGAAGACGGGCGGCACCACCUUCGGCCGCCACCUCGUGCAGAACGUACGCCUCGAGGUGCCGUGCGACUGCCGGCCCGGCCAGAAGAAGUGCACCUGCUACCGGCCCAACCGCCGCGAGACUUGGCUCUUCUCCCGCUUCUCCACCGGCUGGAGCUGCGGGCUGCACGCCGACUGGACCGAGCUCACCAACUGCGUGCCCGGCGUGCUGGACCGCCGCGACUCCGCCGCGCUGCGCACGCCCAGGUAAGUCUGUUCCGGCAGCUUCCUCUCUUUCCCUGCCAGCUGGUGUGGGCCCAUCCUCAUGCCGAGCGUCAUGCUGUGACCUCCAGGAGGCAUAUUGUCUUGUCUUGUGCAAGGAGGAAACAGAUGACAGAUGCAUUCCUGGGGAACU